rnacentral:rRNA from 1 species
CAGUCGCCGCGGGAAUACGAAGGUGGCAAGCGUUGUCCGGAAUUAUUGGGCGUAAAGGGCUCGCAGGCGGUUUCUUAAGUCUGAUGUGAAAGCCCCCGGCUCAACCGGGGAGGGUCAUUGGAAACUGGGAAACUUGAGUGCAGAAGAGGAGAGUGGAAUUCCACGUGUAGCGGUGAAAUGCGUAGAGAUGUGGAGGAACACCAGUGGCGAAGGCGACUCUCUGGUCUGUAACUGACGCUGAGGAGCGAAAGCGCGGGGAGCGAACAGGAUUAGAUACCCCCGUAGUCCCUGUCUCUUAUAC